rnacentral:rRNA from 1 species
ACAGUUGGAAACGACUGCUAAUACCGCAUACGACACCAUUAUGGCAUCAGAAGGUGUUAAAAGGUCCGUUUGGACCGCUAGGAGAUGAGGAUGCGGCGUAUUAGCUAGUAGGUGAGGUAAUGGCUCACCUAGGCGAUGAUACGUAGCCGAACUGAGAGGUUGAUCGGCCACAUUGGGACUGAGAUACGGCCCAGACUCCUACGGGAGGCAGCAGUAGGGAAUUUUUCACAAUGGGCGAAAGCCUGAUGAAGCAAUGCCGCGUGAGUGAUGAAGGUCUUCGGAUUGUAAAGCUCUGUUGUAAGGGAAGAAAUGCUAGUAGAGGAAAUGCUACUAGCUUGACGGUACCUUACCAGAAAGCCACGGCUAACUAUGUGCCAGCAGCCGCGGUAAUACAUAGGUGGCAAGCG